rnacentral:rRNA from 1 species
AUUGAACGCUGGCGGCAGGCCUAACACAUGCAAGUCGAACGAGUGGCGGACGGGUGCGUAAUGUCUGGGAAACUGCUCGAUGGAGGGGGAUAACUACUGGAAACGGUAGCUAAUACCGCAUACCAUCGGAUGUGCCCCGAUGGGAUUUGCUAGUAGGUGGGGUAACGACUCACCUAGGCGACGAUCCCUAGCUGUUCUGAGAGGCUGACCAGCAACACUGGAACUGGGAACCGGUCCAGACUCCUACGGGAGGCAGCAGUGGGGAAUAUUGCACAAUGGGCGCAAGCCUGAUGCAGACAUGCCGCGUGUAUGAAGAAGGCAUUCGGGUUGUAAAGUACUUUCAGCGAGGAGGCGUUACUCGCAGAAGAAGCACCGGCUAACUCCGUGCCAGCAGCCGCGUAAUAC